CGUUGAAACACCGGUUCCCGUACGAUCACCGAAGUUAAGCAACGUCGAGCCUGAUCUAUAUCUCGAUGAGUGACCGCUUGGGAAUACCAUGUUCUGUAA
rnacentral:rRNA from 1 species